CCUGGCUCAGAGCGAACGCUGGCGGCGUGCUUAACACAUGCAAGUCGAGUGCGCAGUUUUCUGUAGCAAUACAGGUGGCGCACGGCGCACGGGUGAGUAACACGUGGGCAACCUGCCCUCCAAAGGGGGAUAACCCGCCGAAAGGCGGGCUAAUACCGCAUGACAUUACGAUGGCUUCGGCUGUUGUAAUCAAAGCUCGAAAGGGCGUUGGAGGAGGGGCCCGCGACCGAUUAGCUAGUUGGUGAGGUAACGGCUCACCAAGGCAAUGAUCGGUAGCUGGUCUGAGAGGAUGGCCGGCCACACUGGAACUGAGACACGGUCCAGACUCCUACGGGAGGCAGCAGUGGGGAAUCUUGCGCAAUGGGCGAAAGCCUGACGCAGCGACGCCGCGUGGGGGAUGAAGCUUCUCGGAGUGUAAACCCCUUUUGAUCCGGAAGAAUGUCCCGCAAGGGAUUGACGGUACGGGUAUAAGAAGCCCCGGCUAACUACGUGCCAGCAGCCGCGGUAAGACGUAGGGGGCCAGCGUUGCUCGGAAUUACUGGGCGUAAAGGGUUCGUAGGCGGUGUGGCAAGUCGGAAGUGAAAUCUCCAGGCUCAACUUGGAGGCUGCUCCCGAAACUGCCGUGCUAGAGUGCGGGAUGGGCGAGUGGAAUUGCAGGUGUAGCGGUGAAAUGCGUAGAUAUCUGCAGGAACACCCGUGGCGAAGGCGGCUCGCUGGACCGCAACUGACGCUGAGGAACGAAAGCUAGGGGAGCAAACAGGAUUAGAUACCCU
rnacentral:rRNA from 1 species